UUCAGAAUGUUCGGUUUCAGUGACCUGCUGCAGUGUUUGCGUGAGGACGAACGGAACAACCCGCAUAGAAAAAGCUGCUGUUUUGAAAAUAACCGCGUUCGUGUGGACGGCCAAUGAGCGCGCGCGUUGAGCAUUCAAAUCACAUUUAAACUGAAGCGGAGGAGGUUACCAUGGUAACAGGGCGUCAACUCACUCAGCUGACAGGUAGCGAGAAGCUGUCUCUCUGCUCUUUUCACUGCUUUCAGGUAAGUUUAGUCCCUAAAGUUACACAAAUAAUACAUACAACAUUUCCUGACACUUUCUUACAUGUUACUGACACGUUUCUGUUGAAUCUUUACUUUACAGGAGUGGUAUAGUGUCUUCAAAAAGACCGUUAGCAUCACAACCAUUAACUAUAGAGGCUAACAAUUAGAGGAGCGUCAGAAUAAAAUACCUAAAACAGGGGAAGUUACAAAAAAAUUUGUAAUGUGAGCUGUCGACAGAGAUACAGGAAACACAGAGCUGGAGCGGAGCAGAUCUCCUGUCGAAGAACAUCUCCAAAGCACCAUGAACCAUCUGACUAGGCAGUUCGUGAAGACGGAUAACCUGGACAGAAGUCAGUUCGAGAUCCAGCCUCCACACCAGACUUCUCACUCACAAGGAUUGCUGUCUACUAGAUAUUAUGUGUACUCUGCAGACUUAGGUUCAUGCAGAUAUUAUUCAGGGACAUGAACACUUGAAUACUGCAAAAAUAGAGAAACUACCUUUAUUUAAGAAUUUUGUGUUAAUUGUGUGAACAUUAAACAAAUAUAUAUUUAUUUUACUGUUUUUUUUUUGUUUUGUAUUCCAAAGCACCU